rnacentral:tRNA from 1 species
GGCUGAGUUAUAGGUAAUAAACUGUAAAUUUAUUUAGGAAAUUUAAAUUUCUUUUACCA